rnacentral:lncRNA from 1 species
CCGCGCCCCCCGGCGGGCGGAGCCCGGCGCCGCGGCCAGGAUUUCCCACCUCGCUCCCGCGACUCCGCUGCGGGGGUACUUAACCGAAACUAGCAAUCCCAGGCGGUACAAGGCCCUCCAUCGUAGGCAAAGCACUACCUGAAUGUAGAUUUGGGCCAUACGUUGGAAAAUAAGACAUGAGAGUAUGCUCCGAUCAACUUUUACUGUUCACUGGACAACUAUUUUGGGAAUUUGCAGACCUAUAAAGCCCAUCUAUAAAUCUCAAGCAUGUCCACUUUCAGAGAAGAGAAAUGCUGACAACCAUUUAGUCUCUGAGGACAACACUUUUAAAGUGUAACAAUGUGGCAUCCAGAGCUUAUCCAGAUGAGCGGAGAGCAAAUGAAUUUCCUUCUGCUCCCCUGUUGAAGAGGAGAGAAAAAUUCUUCAAGCUCACCUGUUCUUCUCAUCGCUGGACCUAUAAAGUGGCAUUAAUCAUCAAGAGUCCAGCAGAAUUGGGAAAGUCAUGUAUGCUGCAAAGUACAUUCCAAAGUCUUAAAAUAUUCUUGUCUUAUCCACUGUUGUUUAUUUGUUUACUUAUUUUUAAACAAACAUCUGUUUGAAAGAGGGAGUGCUAACUGUGUGUUCUGGUAUCCCUUACC